rnacentral:sRNA from 1 species
GGACCUGAUAAUUGUGGGACUUGAGUUC